rnacentral:rRNA from 1 species
UGAGGGAUAUUGGGCAAUGGACGCAAGUCUGACCCAGCGACGCCGCGUGGAGGAGAAGGGCUUCGGCUCGUAAACUCCUUUUCCCAGGGACGAGAACAGGACGGUACCUGGGGAAUAAGUCUCGGCUAACUACGUGC